rnacentral:rRNA from 1 species
GAUGAACGCUGGCGGCGUGCUUAACACAUGCAAGUCGAACGAUGAAGCCCAGCUUGCUGGGUGGAUUAGUGGCGAACGGGUGAGUAACACGUGAGUAACCUGCCCUUAACUCUGGGAUAAGCCUGGGAAACUGGGUCUAAUACCGGAUAGGAGCGCCUACCGCAUGGUGGGUGUUGGAAAGAUUUAUCGGUUUUGGAUGGACUCGCGGCCUAUCAGCUUGUUGGUGUGGUAAUGGCUCACCAAGGCGACGACGGGUAGCCGGCCUGAGAGGGUGACCGGCCACACUGGGACUGAGACACGGCCCAGAAGCCUGCGGGAGGCAGCAGUGGGGAAUAUUGAACAAUGGGCGAAAGCCUGAUGCAGCGACGCCGCGUGAGGGAUGACGGCCUUCGGGUUGGAAACCUCAUUAAGUAGGGAAGAAGCGAAAGUGACGGUACCUGCAGAAGAAGCACCGGCUAACUACGUGC